rnacentral:lncRNA from 1 species
CAGCCCUGAUUGCUGUUGGCAGACAUCUGCCGCUAUGGUAGAAAGCAGCCUGAGGACAAAAUUGUUAAGAGGAAAAAAGCAGAGCCCAGGCAGCCCCGGAGGAAUGAAGCUGGAACUCUGAUCAGUUAUCGGGUGAAGAUAUGAUAUUUACUAGUUCCAGUGCAAAUAAACUUCUCACUGCUCUGGAAGAAUUCCAGAUGUACUCUGCUACAUGAUGAUUCUAUGUGUUGUACUUGAAACUAACGCUGCACUUGAUACGUGGCAAGAAGUCAAGGCUGAAGUUAAACUCUGUUGUCUACCAGCUGAGCUCCCCAGCCUUGGCAUGCUUUUUACAAUUCAUACUUUCUUUUCAAGGUGUUCUUUAUUUGACUUUCUCAUUUUCAACAUCAUGGUCUUCUGCUCUUUGAACAUGGCAAAUCAUUACUGUUUGUAUAUGGAGGAUGCCCAGGCUGAAGAUUCCAGCGAUGACAGAUCAUUGAUAAUGCGACCUAGUCUGAUUUGCCUUACCGGUGAAAAGCUUUUCCUUCUUUGGUUUUACGGAAGACACUGUCCUCAAAAAAUUAA